rnacentral:rRNA from 1 species
UGGAUCCAGACUUUGAUUAUGGCUCAGGAUGAACGCUAGCUACAGGCUUAACACAUGCAAGUCGAGGGGAAACGACAUCGAAAGCUUGCUUUUGAUGAGCGUCGACCGGCGCACGGGUGAGUAACGCGUAUCCAACCUGCCCACCACUUGGGGAUAACCUUGCGAAAGUAAGACUAAUACCCAAUGAUAUCCCACGAAGGCAUCCGAAUGGGAUUAAAGAUUUAUCGGUGAUGGAUGGGGAUGCGUCUGAUUAGCUUGUUGGCGGGGUAACGGCCCACCAAGGCUACGAUCAGUAGGGGUUCUGAGAGGAAGGUCCCCCACAUUGGAACUGAGACACGGUCCAAACUCCUACGGGAGGCAGCAGUGAGGAAUAUUGGUCAAUGGGCGAGAGCCUGAACCAGCCAAGUAGCGUGCAGGACGACGGCCCUAUGGGUUGUAAACUGCUUUUAUAAGGGAAUAAAGUGAGUCUCGUGAGACUUUUUGCAUGUACCUUAUGAAUAAGGACCGGCUAAUUCCGUGCCAGCAGCCGCGGUAAUACGGAAGGUCCGGGCGUUAUCCGGAUUUAUUGGGUUUAAAGGGAGCGUAGGCCGGAGAUUAAGCGUGUUGUGAAAUGUAGUGGCUCAACCUCUGCACUGCAGCGCGAACUGGUCUUCUUGAGUACGCACAACGUGGGCGGAAUUCGUGGUGUAGCGGUGAAAUGCUUAGAUAUCACGAAGAACUCCGAUUGCGAAGGCAGCUCACGGGAGCGCAACUGACGCUGAAGCUCGAAAGUGCGGGUAUCGAACAGGAUUAGAUACCCUGGUAGUCCGCACGGUAAACGAUGGAUGCCCGCUGUUGGCCUGAAUAGGUCAGCGGCCAAGCGAAAGCAUUAAGCAUCCCACCUGGGGAGUACGCCGGCAACGGUGCAACUCAA